rnacentral:lncRNA from 1 species
UAAAAAAAGCCAUCCCACCACACUGUUUCCAACGCUCACUUAUCCGUUCAUUUUCCUAUCUCGUUUACGACUUCAUUUUAGUCUCUAUCUUUUACUACGUAGCCACCACUUACUUCCACAACCUCCCUCAGCCACUAUCUUUCGUCGCCUGGCCAAUUUAUUGGACUCUUCAAGGUUCAGUCCUCACUGGCGUUUGGGUUAUCGCCCAUGAAUGCGGUCACCAUGCUUUUAGCGAUUACCAAUGGAUUGAUGACACUGUCGGUCUCAUUCUCCAUUCAUCCCUUCUUGUCCCGUACUUUUCGUGGAAAUAUAGUCACCGACGUCACCAUUCCAACACUGGUUCCCUUGAACGCGACGAAGUAUUUGUUCCGAAGAAACGGAGCAGCAUUAGAUGGUGGGCUAAAUACCUCAACAAUCCACCAGGUCGUUUCGUCACAGUCACCAUUCAGCUCACUCUCGGAUGGCCUCUUUACUUAGCAUUCAAUGUAGCAGGUAGACCUUACGAAGGACUCGCUUGUCACUACAACCCAUACGGUCCUAUCUACAACGACCGUGAACGACUUCAAAUCUACAUAUCCGACGUCGGUGUCCUUGCUGUCACCUAUGGGCUGUACCGUCUCGUGUUAGCCAAAGGUCUAGCUUGGGUCAUUUGCGUUUACGGUGUCCCAUUGCUCAUCGUUAAUGCAUUCCUCGUCAUGAUCACAUACUUGCAACACACUCACCCCGCAUUACCACACUACGACUCAUCCGAAUGGGACUGGUUACGUGGAGCCCUCGCGACGGUCGACCGAGAUUAUGGGAUAUUAAACAAGGUUUUCCAUAACAUAACUGAUACUCAUGUCGCUCAUCAUUUGUUUUCGACGAUGCCGCAUUACCACGCAAUGGAAGCAACUAAGGCAAUAAAACCAAUAUUG